UACAGAGGUGGCAAGCGUUGUUCGGAAUUACUGGGCGUAAAGGGCGAGUAGGUGGCCAUCUAAGUCAGACGUGAAAUCCCCCGGCUUAACCUGGGAACUGCGUCUGAUACUGGACGGCUUGAGUAUGAGAGAGGAACGUAGAAUUCCAGGUGUAGCGGUGAAAUGCGUAGAUAUCUGGAGGAAUACCGGUGGCGAAGGCGGCGUUCUGGACCAUUACUGACACUGAAUCGCGAAAGCUAGGGGAGCAAACGGG
rnacentral:rRNA from 1 species